UCCGAUUUUAGAGUGUCAAAAUAGUGGUUGAAUUUUGUCAAACGUUCUUCAAACUGUAUGACAUAGGGAAAGAUGUCUUCCAAUUCUCCAUUGAUUGGGCUCCUUCGAUUCCGACCCAAGAGAAUGGGUGGGAUUGUGGAGUGCAUGUCAUU